rnacentral:rRNA from 1 species
CCUUGAAGACGACGAGGUAGAUAGGGCAGAGGUGGAAGUGCAGCAAUGCAUGGAGCUGACUGUUACUAAUCGGUCGAGGGCUAGAUCA